rnacentral:rRNA from 1 species
AAUCAACGCUGGCGGCGUGCCUCAGACAUGCAAGUCGAACGAUUAAAGCUCUCUUCGGAGAGUGUAUAGAGUGGCGCACGGGUGAGUAACACGUAAGUAAUCUACCUUUGAGUGGGGAAUAACAGUCGGAAACGACUGCUAAUACCGCAUAAUGCAGCGGCAUCGCAAGAUGACAGUUGUUAAAGGAGCAAUCCGCUUAAAGAGGAGCUUGCGGCAGAUUAGCUAGUUGGUAAGGUAAUGGCUUACCAAGGCUACGAUCUGUAUCCGGGUCUAAGAGGACGGUCGGACACACUGACACUGAAUAACGGGUCAGACUCCUACGGGAGGCAGCAGUCGGGAAUUUUGGGCAAUGGGCGAAAGCCUGACCCAGCAACGCCGCGUGAAGGAUGAAGUA